AAUCCUGUCAGAUGGAAAGAAAUGUACAGGUGUUAAUAUCGCCUGUAUUUGACGGUACCAUCAAAGGAAGUACCGGCUAACUCCGUGCCAGCAGCCGCGGUAAUACGGAGGGUGCGAGCGUUGUUCGGAAUUACUGGGCGUAAAGCGUGCGCAGGCGGAUUGUUAAGCAAGAUGUGAAAUCCCCGGGCUUAACCUGGGAAUGGCAUUUUGAACUGGCAGUCUAGAGUGCGUCAGAGGGGGGUGGAAUUCCACGUGUAGCAGUGAAAUGCGUAGAGAUGUGGAGGAACACCAAUGGCGAAGGCAGCCCCCUGGGAUGACACUGACGCUCAUGUACGAAAGCGUGGGUAGCAAACAGGAUUAGAUACCCUGGUAGUCCACGCCCUAAACGAUGUCAACUGGUUGUUGGGGGAGUGAAAUCCCUUAGUAACGAAGCUAACGCGUGAAGUUGACCGCCUGGGGAGUACGGUCGCAAGAUUAAAACUCAAAGGAAUUGACGG
rnacentral:rRNA from 1 species